rnacentral:lncRNA from 1 species
CUCUCUUCAACCAAGUAAAGGAGACUCCUUGUGGAGGGGAGCCCCUGCCCGCUCACCUGGAUGACCAUGCCUCACCUCUGCCGAUCACAUGCAAAUAUUUGUCCUGUUCUGAGACAUCCUCCUGGGUCCCAGCUUCUUCUCUUGAAGAUACAGAUUUCCAGUGCACCAUCAGAAGCCGAAGUAACUGUGAGUGGGAGGCAUUGGAGCCGGCUGGGAGGUAAGCAUUCGGGCCAGCAGGGAGGAGGAGUCGCCCAUGUAGCAGUGCUGGAUGACAACAUUCCCACACUGCCCUCGGACACAUCACAGACCCUGGUACCACAGGAUCCCUCUGAUUCAACUGAAGAGAGAUGCAGAGCUGCAUGCCACCAAGUAACUAAUUCGUUCUUCUCUUCUUAUAUCCAUUGAGCAGUGUGCAGUGUUGGCACAAUGCACAGUACUUGUUAACCACUCCAGGAAAAGAAAGAGCCACUCAUUCUGAUUAGCUGUCAGAACUAAUUUUAAGCUAUGUUAUUAUAUGGUAAAGAGGAAAAAGGAAAUACAAGGAAACUGUACUU